rnacentral:piRNA from 1 species
UGUAUUUGUGGACAUGAGGAUGGUUAUGAU